rnacentral:tRNA from 1 species
AGCGGGGUGGAGCAGUCUGGUAGCUCGUCGGGCUCAUAACCCGAAGGUCGAAGGUUCAAAUCCUUCCCCCGCCACCA